rnacentral:rRNA from 1 species
UAAAACGCUCGUAGUCGGAUUUCGGGGCGUGUGGGCCGGUCUGCCGAUGGGUAUGCACUGGUUGUACGCGUCCUUUCUUUCGGAGCUCUCUGCUGCUCUUAGCUGAGCGGUGGAGGGAUACGAAUCGUUUACUUUGAAAAAAUCAGAGUGUUUCAAGCAGGCAGCUCGCUCUUGCAUGGAUUAGCAUGGGAUAAUGAAAUAGGACUCUGGUGCUAUUUUGUUGGUUUCGAACACCGGAGUAAUGAUUAACAGGGACAGUCAGGGGCACUCGUAUUCCGCCGAGAGAGGUGAAAUUCUCAGACCAGCGGAAGACGAACCACUGCGAAAGCAUUUGCCAGGGAUGUUUUCACUGAUCAAGAACGAAAGUUAGGGGAUCGAAGACGAUCAGAUACCGUCGUAGUCUUAACCAUAAACCAUGCCGACUAGGGAUUUGGGGUUGUUCCUUUUGUGACUCCCUAAGCACCUUUCGGGAAACUAAAGUCUUUGGGUUCCGGGGGGAGUAUGGUCGCAAGGCUGAAACUUAAAGGAAUUGACGGAAGGGCACCACCAGGAGUGGAGCCUGCGGCUUAAUUUGACUCAACACGGGGAAACUUACCAGGUCCAGACAUUGUGAGGAUUGACAGAUUGAGAGCUCUUUCUCGAUUCGAUGGGUGGUGGUGCAUGGCCGUUCUUAGUUGGUGGAGUGAUUUGUCUGGUUAAUUCCGUUAACGAACGAGACCGCAGCCUGCUAAAUAGUACCGCGAACAAUUUGUUGGCGGGUCACUUCUUAGAGGGACAACUUGUCUUCAACAAGUGGAAGUUUGCGGCAAUAACAGGUCUGUGAU